rnacentral:ncRNA from 1 species
CUAUUGUAUGAAAGGAGAGACGGUUAGCACUUCUCUGAAUGAGGAUGGAAGAGGUCCAAGUGGCCUAUACAAUACACACAUGAUUAAGGCAUUGCCACUUACCUUUUUGAAAGCCAGUGUGGCAUAGUGGUUAGAGUGUU